AGAGCGAACGCUGGCGGCAGGCCUAACACAUGCAAGUCGAGCGGCCGUAGCAAUACGGCAGCGGCAGACGGGAGAGUAACACGUGGGAACGCGCCCUUCGGUUCGGAAUAACUCAGGGAAACUUGAGCUAAUACCGAAUACGCCCUUACGGGGAAAGAUUUAUUGCCGAAGGAACGGCCCGCGUCCGAUUAGCUAGUUGGUGAGGUAAUGGCUCACCAAGGCGACGAUCGGUAGCUGGUCUGAGAGGAUGACCAGCCUCACUGGGACUGAGACACGGCCCAGACUCCUACGGGAGGCAGCAGUGGGGAAUAUGGACAAUGGGCGCAAGCCUGAUCCAGCCAUGCCGCGUGGAUGAUGAAGGCCUUAGGGUUGUAAAGUCCGUUUUAACGGGGAAGAUAAUGACGGUACCCGUAGAAUAAGCCCGGCUAACUUCGUGCCAGCAGCCGC
rnacentral:rRNA from 1 species